UGAAUACGAGAUGCUACGGCGUCGAAGCAGUGUAUGUCAGACUUCCAAGAAAAGCUCGCAAUGUCAUAAAUAAAGAAUGCCUGUACCAUAACCGACACAGGUGGGUAGGUAGAGUAUACUAAGGGGCGCGAGAUAACUCUCUCUAAGGAACUCGGCAAAAUAACUCCGUAACUUCGGGAGAAGGAGUGCCUUCUUUAAGAAGGUUGCAAUAACAAGAUCCAAGCAACUGUUUAUCAAAAACACAGGUCUCCGCUAAGUCGUAAGACGAUGUAUGGGGGCCGACGCCUGCCCAGUGCCAGAAGGUUAAAGAAGUUGGUUAGCUUUUGCGAAGCUGAUGACUGAAGCCCUGGUGAACGGCGGCCGUAACGAUAACGGUCCUAAGGUAGCGAAAUUCCUUGUCGGGUAAGUUCCGACCCGCACGAAAGGCGUAAUGAUUUGGAUACUGUCUCGGAGAGGGACUCGGUGAAAUAGACUUGUCUGUGAAGAUGCGGACUACCUGCACCAGGACAGAAAGACCCUAUGAAGCUUUACUGUAACUUGAAAUUGAAAUUGGACUUUAUUUGCGCAGUAUAGGUGGAAGGCGUUGAAAGUAAUCUUGCGGGAUUAGUGGAGCCAUCAGUGAGAUACCACUCCUGUAAUGUUAGAUUUCUAACUUUGGAUCAUGAUCUGGUCAAAGAACAGUUUCAGGCGGGCAGUUUGACUGGGGCGGUCGCCUCCCAAAUGGUAACGGAGGCGUACAAAGGUUUCCUCUGAACGGGUAGAAAUCGUAUCUAGAGUGUAAAGGCAUAAGGAAGCUUGACUGUGAGACCUACAAGUCGAGCAGGGACGAAAGUCGGUCUUAGUGAUCUGACGGUGCUGAGUGGAAAGGCCGUCACUCAACGGAUAAAAGUUACUCUAGGACAACAGGCUGAUCUCCCCCAAGAGUUCACAUCGACGGGGAGGUUUGGCACCUCGAUGUCGGCUCAUCGCAUCCUGGGGCGGUAGUACGUCCCAAGGGUUGGGCUGUUCGCCCAUGAAAGCGGUACGCGAGCUGGGUUCAGAACGUCGUGAGACAGUUCGGUCCAUAUCCGGUGUAGGCGUUAGAAUAUUGAGAGGAGCCUUCUUUAGUACGAGAGGACCGAGAAGGACAUACCUCUGGUGUACCAGUUAUCGUGCCAACGGUAAACGCUGGGUAGCUAUGUAUGGAGAGGAUAACCGCUGAAAGCAUCUAAGUGGGAAGCCCACCUCAAGAUGAGUAUUCUC
rnacentral:rRNA from 1 species